rnacentral:rRNA from 1 species
AUACGAAAGGUGCAAGCGUUGUUCGGAUUUACUGGGCGUAAAGAGAGUGUAGGUUGUUUAUUAAGUCGGAUGUGAAAUCCCGGGGCUCAACCUCGGAACUGCAUUCGAUACUGGUAGACUAGAGUUCGGGAGGGGUAAGCGGAAUUCCGUGUGUAGCAGUGAAAUGCGUAGAUAUACGGAGGAACACCUGAGGCGAAGGCGGCUUACUGGACCGAUACUGACACUGAGACUCGAAAGCGUGGGUAGCAAACAGGAUUAGAUACCCGAGUAGUCC